GCCCUUGAGUUUGAUCCUGGCUCAGAUUGAACGCUGGCGGCGUGCUUAACACAUGCAAGUCGUGCGAGAAAGGGGACUUCGGUUCCUGAGUAGAGCGGCGCACGGGUGAGUAACGCGUGGGUGAUCUACCCGGAAGUCUGGGAUAACGGUGGGAAACUGCCGCUAAUACCGGUUAAUCUUCCAAUUCGAAUUGGAGGGAAAGACGGCCUCUGCUUGCAAGCUGUCGCUUUCGGAUGAGCCCGCGUCCCAUUAGCUAGUUGGCGGGGUAACGGCCCACCAAGGCAACGAUGGGUAGCUGGUCUGAGAGGAUGAUCAGCCACACUGGGACUGAAACACGGCCCAGACUCCUACGGGAGGCAGCAGUGGGGAAUAUUGCGCAAUGGGGGAAACCCUGACGCAGCGACGCCGUGUGAGGGAAGAAGGCCUUCGGGUCGUAAACCUCUGUCGGGAGGGAAGAACCGCCGGGUUCCGAACAGGGACCCGGCCUGACGGUACCUCCGGAGGAAGCGCCGGCUAACUCCGUGCCAGCAGCCGCGGUAAUACGGAGGGCGCAAGCGUUAAUCGGAAUCACUGGGCGUAAAGCGCGCGUAGGCGGCCAGAUAAGUCGGGCGUGAAAG
rnacentral:rRNA from 1 species